rnacentral:rRNA from 1 species
UACAGAGGUCUCAAGCGUUGUUCGGAUUCAUUGGGCGUAAAGGGUGCGUAGGCGGCGCGGUAAGUCGGGUGUGAAAUCUCGGGGCUUAACCUCCGAAACUGCAUUCGAUACUGCCGUGCUUGAGGACUGGAGAGGAGACUGGAAUUUACGGUGUAGCGGUGAAAUGCGUAGAUAUCGUAAGGAAGACCAGUGGCGAAGGCGGGUCUCUGGACAGUUCCUGACGCUGAGGCACGAAGGCCAGGGGAGCAAACGGG